AGGAUCCGAGCGUUAUCCGGAUUUAUUGGGUUUAAAGGGUGCGUAGGCGGCUUCAUAAGUCAGGGGUGAAAUUCGGCAGCUCAACUGUCGGCGUGCCUUUGAUACUGUGGGGCUUGAAUUUGGUCGAAGGAGGCGGAAUGGGACAAGUAGCGGUGAAAUGCAUAGAUAUGUCACGGAACCCCAAUUGCGAAGGCAGCUUUCUAGGCCAACAUUGACGCUGAUGCACGAAAGCGUGGGGAUCGA
rnacentral:rRNA from 1 species